rnacentral:rRNA from 1 species
GACGAACGCUGGCGGCGUGCUUAACACAUGCAAGUCGAACGAAGUGGCGAACGGGUGAGUAAUACGUGGGUAACCUGCCCUCCUUUUUGGGAUAAGCCUUGGAAACGGUGGCUAAUACCGCAUACUGUCGGAUGAACCCAUAUGGGAUUAGCUAGUAGGUAAGGUAAUGGCUUACCUAGGCGACGAUCCCUAGCUGGUCUGAGAGGAUGAUCAGCCACACUGGGACUGAGACACGGCCCAGACUCCUACGGGAGGCAGCAGUGGGGGAUAUUGCACAAUGGGCGAAAGCCUGAUGCAGCGACGCCGCGUGGGGGAUGAAGGCUUUCGGGUUGUAAACCUCUUUCGCUAUCGAACGGGUAGGUGGAGAAGAAGCGCCGGCUAACUACGUGCCAGCAGCCGCGGUAAUU